rnacentral:rRNA from 1 species
AACGAACGCUGGCGGCAUGCCUAACACAUGCAAGUCGAACGAGACCUUCGGGUCUAGUGGCGCACGGGUGCGUAACGCGUGGGAACCUGCCCUUAGGUUCGGAAUAACUCCCCGAAAGGGGUGCUAAUACCGGAUAAUCUCUUCGGACCAAAGAUUUAUCGCCUUUGGAUGGGCCCGCGUUGGAUUAGCUAGUUGGUAGGGUAAAAGCCUACCAAGGCGACGAUCCAUAGCUGGUCUGAGAGGAUGAUCAGCCACACUGGGACUGAGACACGGCCCAGACUCCUACGGGAGGCAGCAGUGGGGAAUAUUGGACAAUGGGCGAAAGCCUGAUCAAGCAAUGCCGGGUGAGUGAUGAAGGCCUUAGGGUUGUAAAGCUCUUUUACCCGGGAUGAUAAUGACAGUACCGGGAGAAUAAGCUCCGGCUAACUCCGUG